rnacentral:rRNA from 1 species
UGGGGAAUAUUGCGCAAUGGGGGAAACCCUGACGCAGCAACGCCGCGUGGAGGAUGAAGGCCUUCGGGUCGUAAACUCCUGUCAGAAGGGACGAACCGGGUGAGCUCGAAUAGGACUCACCUCUGACGGUACCUUCAGAGGAAGCCCCGGCUAACUCCGUGCCAGCAGCCGCGGUAAUACGGAGGGGGCAAGCGUUAUUCGGAAUCAUUGGGCGUAAAGCGCGCGUAGGCGGCUUGAUAAGUCAAAGGUGAAAUCCCUCGGCUCAACUGAGGAACUGCCUUUGAAACUAUCUGGCUUGAGGCCGGGAGGGGGUAGUGGAAUUCCCAGUGUAGCGGUGAAAUGCGUAGAUAUUGGGAGGAACACCUGUGGCGAAGGCGGCUACCUGGACCGGUUCUGACGCUGAGGCGCGAAAGCAUGGGGAGCAAACAGGAUUAGAUACCCGCGUAGUCC